GUUGGUUGGCAGGAUCACGCCACACAUUUUUUUAACAAGAUACCCCAAUGAUGAUUGUGGCCAAGUUUGGAUUAAUUUGGCCCAGUAGUUUCAGAGGAGAAGUUUUUUUGUAAACACAUGAAACAAUUACAAAAAUUUAAGAAAAAUGGUUAAAAAUUGCCUAUUAACGGCAAUAACUCCUUAAGGGGUCAACUGACAAUUUUGGUGAUGUUGACU
rnacentral:lncRNA from 1 species